AAUGAACGCUGGCGGCAGGCCUAACACAUGCAAGUCGAACGGAUCCUUCGGGAUUAGUGGCGGACGGGUGAGUAACGCGUGGGAACAUACCCAAAGGUACGGAAUAGCCUCGGGAAACUGGGAGUAAUACAGUAUGUGCUCGAGAGAGGAAAGAUUUAUCGCCUUUGGAUUGGCCCGCGUUGGAUUAGGUAGUUGGUGGGGUAAUGGCCUAUCAAGCCGACGAUCCAUAGCUGGUUUGAGAGGAUGAUCAGCCACACUGGGACUGAGACACGGCCCAGACUCCUACGGGAGGCAGCAGUGGGGAAUCUUAGACAAUGGGGGAAACCCUGAUCUAGCCAUGCCGCGUGAUCGAUGAAGGCCUUAGGGUUGUAAAGAUCUUUCAGGUGGGAAGAUAAUGACUGUACCACCAGAAGAAGCCCCGGCUAACUCCGUGCCAGCAGCCGCGGUAA
rnacentral:rRNA from 1 species